CCCCGGCGAACUCGCACCCCAGAUCUCUUCCGUAAAAUUCUGCUGUGACGGUUCUCCCUCCUCUACUUCCCGAGAUGUCCAGCAUCGCUCCUGGCCUACAAAUCUUGGUUCCCCUUCUAGCGAGAGGAGAGGGAGGACGUGCGUGUGGUGCUGGGCGGAUGGGGUUCCUGCAUUCGGUGCUCCCGGCCAUGCGCAUCCUCCACCACCUACACCGUGCACGGUCGGCGCCGUCUCUCCUCCACCUGCAGCUGAGGAGAAACCACGUUUCGUUUGGCCGAGGGCGCUGCACGCCGGCGACCUCGAUCCCCUUUCUCACCAGGACCUCUCCGCUCUGCCGCUCGCCAGUGGUGGUCCUGGUCCUCACCGGCACAUCCACUCCGCCAUCCUCGUCUUCCCACCACCGUGAAGACGUGUAGGCGAGCCUGCUGGAACGACGUCGGGGACCUCGCCAAUGCCUGCAUCUCUGCUCGCCGCGAGUCCACGCCUCUGUCCGGAGCAUGGAGUUAGCCGUGGACGCGGAUGACGGCGUUCAAAGGGAGGAGGAGACUACCUGUACAUGCUCGACCAGGAGGUGACAACCAGCAAAAGGAAGGAGGGCUUCAUUGCUUGUUCCGGCUAAGCACCCUCGAGCGCGGUUGUAGGCACUCUUCAGACUAAAUACGCAGCCUUUUGGUUUCUGUGCAAGAAAGAAGGAGGUCAACGACCAUGGACGACAAGCUGCUGCAGAGUACCUCACAAGGGCCCAUUUCAUUAAGUUGAUUAGCCGCUCUAGUUUAUGUUGUGUUUCACUUUCUCCUAAGUUGUGUAUCCUGUUUCAUUAAGUUGAUUAACAACUUUAGCUUGAGUUGUUUUACUCUUUUCUCCUAAAUUGCUUAUCCCGUUUCAUUAAGUUGAUUAAUGACUUUAGCUUGAGUUGUUUUCUAGUUUAUCUUAA